rnacentral:rRNA from 1 species
UCCCAAAAUAAAAACUUGCCGGGGACUACAAACUUCCAUUUAAAACUCAAAGAUCUUGGCGGUGUCUUAUACACUCAGGGAAACCUGUCCCUUAAUACGAUAAUCCACGAAUGUAUAAACCCCUCUUGAAAUCCCAGCCUGUGUACUGCCGUCAUAAGUAUGCCUCCAAGAGCAAGCAUGCAAAAAUAAUAAUAAUAUUUAAGUCAGGUCAAAGUGCAGCCUAUGAGGGGUUGGAGAUGGGUUACACUCUUAAAAUAGCUACCAAAAUUCCUUGAAAAAUGGGUUAAAAGCUGGACUUGAAAGUAAUAAUAUCAACUAAAAUAUUAUGAAGAGGAAUCUAAGACAUGCACAUAUCGCCCGUCACUCUCACCGAAAGGCG